GGGGAAUUCGCCAGCACUGUCGUCGUGGUAUAACCGUAAGCUCUCGUAAGUAUGGAAGUUAACCUUCCUGAUCAGAUCCACCUCCAUGGAAAGACUUUCACGUCGAAGGAAAGCGCUCCCCAAUCGUAUUUCUUCAAUGAGCACAAGAUUGCACCUGGAAUCAAUGGACUUAUAUCUUCAUUUGCUCCUGCAUUGAUCAGAACCUCUAUCUGUAAAGCUGUGAUCUUCCCGUCGGAUUUAAACCCGACACCUGCACAAGCUGCAGCCACCUGAGAAUAUACAGAAGAAGGAAAUAAAUGUAUUAAUGAAGGAUCAACACAAAAACACACUCUACAAUAGGGGUGGUACUCGGCUGCGAAGGAGGCCGAGCAUGGAUUGGACGAGACAAGAAACUCAGACUGCGGGUUUGGAUUCAGGUUUUGUGUCGCUUGACGCCUUAUACUUUUGGUGUUAUAAGGUAAUUAUAACAAAAAUUUGCAGGUUUUUGCUGGUUUGGUUACCCGCAAGUACUUCGGGCAUAAAACCCAUGGAGACAGAUCGAGGCCAGGUACCCAAAAACUCACCAUACUAGUCUAGAACAGUUUGAAA